rnacentral:rRNA from 1 species
UACGUAGGGACCAAGCGUUGUUCGGAUUUACUGGGCGUAAAGGGCGCGUAGGCGGCUCAUAGAGUCGGGCGUGAAAUUCCUGGGCUUAACCUGGGGGCUGCGUUCGAUACCUGUGGGCUAGAGUGAGGAAGAGGGUCGUGGAAUUCCCAGUGUAGAGGUGAAAUUCGUAGAUAUUGGGAAGAACACCAGUGGCGUAGGCGGCGACCUGGUCCUUUACUGACGCUGAGGCGCGAAAGCGUGGGGAGCAAACAGG